rnacentral:misc_RNA from 1 species
AUAGUCAUUUCCAAAGACUGUCAGAUGAGGACGCCUUCCAACAGCAACUUGCUGCACGUAUGGCAUUAGGUUGUUUGGAAUUCCACGGGGAUCCUCACCAAUAAGGCCACUAGGAUGUGCACCAACAGGAUUGAAGUAUCUUAGCAAUAUGAUCUUCCAUUCAGAAUCUGAACGGUAGAUAUCACCGCAAAUCUCUUCGAUGAAAAGCUUGGUUCUACCAUAUGGGUUCAUUGCAAAUAGAGGGAAUUCUUCAGUACAUGGAACCUCCUUUGGCCAACCAUAAACAGUAGCAGACGAGGAAAACACAAGCUUCUUGCAUCCGUGGGCAGUCAUUACUUCCAGCAAUGUAAUUGUUCCAAUAAGAUUGUUGUCAAAAUAAAGCAAUGGUUUCUCCACACUCUCACCAACUGCCUUGAGCCCAGCAAAGUGGAUAACAGCAUCAAAUUUUGUCUGGGAGAAAACUUUUUCCAGAGCUGGCUUGUUCCGGAGGUCAACCUGGUGAAAGGAGAGGUUCUUGCCGCGUUCGCCGGCGAUUUCCUUGACUCUUUCGAGAGCAACAGCGGAGGAAUUAUCGAGAUUAUCGACAACGACAACUGAGUAACCGCCUAAAAGGAGUUGAAGCACCGUGUGACUCCCAAUGUAACCAGUACCACCGGUGACCAGGAUAUUCCUCGCCAUGACGGAAACCUCAAACAGAGAGAGAUAGAGAGAGAAGCGAGAGCAGUUAACUUUCUUGUGGAGGGACUUAACAGAG